rnacentral:lncRNA from 1 species
GGCAGAGGCAGACGAAUUUCUGAGUUUGAGGUCAGCCAGGGCUAUACAGAGAAACCCUGUCUCGAAAAACCAAAAAAAAAAAAAAAAAAAUAAUAAUAAUAAUAAUAAUAAUAAUAAGAAGAAGAAGAAGAAGAAGAAGAAGAAGAAGAAGAAGAAGAAGAAGAAGAAGAAGAAAGAAAGAAACAGGGUCUCAUUUUGUAGCCCUAGCUAGCCUGGAACUGCAUCUACCUCCUGAGUGCUGGAAUUUAAGGUAUAGGCUGCCACACCCAACACAGAUUGGUUUUAAUGCUAUAAAAAUAUCUAUUAAAGACACGAGCCUAUCUUUACUUGCAUUUUGUGUCAAAUAA